AUUCCAUCUCAGUUGGAGCAAGUCUGUGUGCGUUAGUGUCCUUUCUGACUUCCCGUGUGGACUGCUCUCUGUCCGGCCAGUGGAAUAUGCCACGGGCAAAAAUACUGACAACCAUUCAACACAAAAGGAGCAGUAUUAGUGUAUUAGUCAGCUAAGGACCACUGUGACAAAAAACCCGAGUACUGCUUUACCACAUUGGAAAUAUUGAAAAGCUGGAGGAGCUCCAUCACACUGGCUUCAUGACUUUAACAGUAGGCUGUGACCCUCAGUGAGGACAACUCUGCUCUGCCUUCAAAGACAGCAGGACUGAGCACCCGAGCUAAGCACUUCUGACCUCCCUACUCUUCUCACAGCAAUGGUGACUUAAACGAAUAAUCUCAGAAGUGACCCCUCCAUGGAAUGCGUGUGGGGACCCACACCUCCACAGGCUUCAGGGACAUUUACGUUAAGAAGCUGAAAACGCUCUGCAUAAAACAGUACCCCCCACCUCUGGUUUUUCUUUGUACAGUUUGUUACAGAGAGGCAACUGUGGUUGGAAAAUAUUAAAUGGAAAAUUAUAGGAACAAAGAAUUUACAAUUUUUAAGUAACUUUCACCACAGAAAACUAUUAUAUAUUGCUCUUAUUUUUAAACUUCUUGCUAGGCCCAAUUUAUAAACUAAACUUUAUUAUCGUUAUACACGUUUAGGAAAACCACUAUACUUAGGUUCAGUACUAUCCCCUGGGGUUCUUUGAAUGUAUCUCCUGCAGAUACAUUCUGCAAGAGAAUAGAAUGCAAUUCUAUUUUAUUAAAAUAGAAAAGAAUGCAAUUACCAUAAUAUUAGCUGGAGGUUCAAGAAGUGAAAACUUAAAACACCAAUCAAAAUAUUAAGUGAAAACUUAAACACCAAUCAAAAUAUUUACUAUAUCUUUA